CUGGUUGAUCCUGCCAGUAGUAUAUGCUCAUCUCGAAGAUUAAGCCAUGCAUGUGUAAGAGCAAUCUGCUCACCCUUUCGGGGGUGAGUACUAUGGAUCUGCGAAUAGCUCCUUACAAGCGUCAUAAACAAGCUAACAAUGUUUUUAUAAGGAUAACGCUGCCAAAUGCAACGAUAAUACUUGAAUUAAGCGUUGGUGCGAAUCGAUGGAUUUGCUCACCAACGAUGUGCUCCCUUGUGGGGCAUGCCGACUAACGAAAAGUUAGCUAGAUAGAAGUGUCUCAUAUCUAUUAGCUGUGAUGGUGGGGCAAUGGCCCACCAUGGCUAUUAUGGAUACGGGGAAUCAGUGUUCGAUUCCGGAGAGGCAGCCUUAGAAACAGCUACCAUGUCCAAGGACAGCAGCAGGCGCGAAAAUUACUCAAUUCUAACUCAGAGAAGUAGUGAAAAGAAAUAAUGAUUUCCCACACAUGUGGGAAAGUACUCUUCGGAGUUUGAAAUGAUCGCACUGUAAAUAGGUGCGAGAGUAUCAAGUGGAGGGCAAGUCAGGUGCCAGCAGCCGCGGUAACUCCUGCUCCCAAGCAUAUACUAAUGUUGCUGUAGUUAAAACGUCCGUAGUCCAUGACAGUGCUUUAUCGCGGGGCUCGGAUAACCCUAACCUUCGCCGCCAGGUAUUUGCCUGGUGGCGGAGGGGUUGGGAGCAAUCCCAACCUGGGGUUAUCCCUUUGGCGCGCAAAUACCUCGCUUCGGCGAGGUAUGCGUGAGCCCCGUGAGAAAGUGCGAUACACAACUGUGAGUAAAUCAGCGUGCUCAAGGCAGGCUAUAGGAGGCUUUCGAGUCUCCUGGUGCUUGUAUGCUUUAGCAUGGGACUGUAUCCCAAUUGACUUGGGGCUUCGGCUCCAGGUCAGCACUGUGGAAAAGGGAAUGGACGGAGGACACAGGUAUUUUGGCACUAGGGGUGAAAUCCGAAUAAUGCCAAAAGACCAACAGACGCGAAAGCGGUGUCGUCCAUGGCAUUCCCAUUGAUCAAGGACGAGAGUCAGGGGAUCGAAGAUGAUUAGAUACCGUCGUAGUCCUGACUGUAAACGAUACUGCCGAGAGUUUGGGGAUAUGAAACUAUAACUGAUCUCCUCAGGAUCUAAGGGAAACCGAGAGGUUUCGAGUUCUGGGGGAAGUAUGGUCGCAAGGCUGAAACUUAAAGGAAUUGACGGAAAGGCACCACCAGGUGUGGAUGCUGCGGCUUAAUUCGACUCAACACGGGGAAACUCACGAAGGCAAGAUGUAGAAAGGAUUGACAAGCUAAAGACUUUUCUUGAUUCUACAAGUGGUGGUGCAUGGCCGUUCUUAGUUCGUGGAUUAAUCUGUCUGGUUAAUUCCGAUAACGAACGAGACCUUAACUGCUAAUUAGGCGGGCGAUUUUCGAAUCGUCCGAAUGUCCUUCGGGACUCCUGCUUAGCAGGACACUCUGCUCUCAAGCAGAGGGAAGUUUGAGGCAAUAACAGGUCACAGCCGCAAACAACAAUGAGAGAUCUCAAAACACUGUGCAGACUCACUGAAAAAGAUCAGUGGAUCGAAAAAGCGAAAGAGCGAUAUGAAGCUCUCGCAAAGCAUGCAAUACGAGAAAGAGUUGUUGAGGAAUCCGAGUGUUGGAUCCCCGCAACAAAGGAAGGACAAAGACGUCGUCCCAAAAAAGGAGACAAUUACAUCCAAAUACCCAUUAUCCAGCCAUCCGGACACCAAAAUCGGAUGAAAACCAAAGGAAUGCCAAGAAUAACCGUAUAUGCCCACCAGCUUGGCUGGUGGGCUGGAGUUGAGUACUCCAAAGUGCUCCUUUGCGCAUAUCGCGUAAUGAUUGAGCAAGGUCAAACAAUGAGCAUUUCUCACCUCUGCGGUAAUCCUCAAUGUUUCCGUCCGGAUCAUUUGACAGCCGAACCCAGGUGGGUCAAUGUCCGCAGACAAGAAUGUCUCGCGAUACGACGCCCUGGGGAAAACUGCGACUGUCAUUAUGGCAGGCAUGGGGCAGCGGAUGUAUACAAAAGAUGUCUCAAACGUAUUGUAAAUAUUUGAUCCCAGUUCUUUGUGAACUCUGCGCAGUGUUGCUCUGUAAUUUUUUGUUGCUCUGUAAUUUUUGCGGUCAGGCUUGAGCGGGCACGAAAGUGCUAUAUCCGCUAGUUCCGUGCGCAUCCUUUUGUGUGGACGGAGCGACACCAUCAAAUUGCGGGGACGCCCUAAAGCCUUUUGUUACCAAACAUGGGUCGAAAGACACCAUGUGGCCAGGUGUAAUGACCUGGGUAUGGUAAAAAGACAAAAGGAUGAAACAAUGGGCAAUCCGCAGCCAAGUCCUAAGGUGAUCCGGAUGCUAUUUUUCCGGGUUGCUAUGGAUGCAGUUCACAGACUAAAUGGUGGUGGGUGGGAGAUCCUCGCGAGCUCCUGCUUAAGAUAUAGUCGAGGCCACUGCGAAAGCAGUGCAAAUCACGGAGGAAGGUCUUGGCUCGAGCAGCAGCCAAACUGGAGAGCCGUGGUUGGGCAGUUUCAUUCUGUCGAUUUACCUGCUGUGAUGCCCUUAGAUGCUUUCGGCAGCACGCGUCAUACAAUGCUAGUAUAAACGAGUUUAUGGCCACAUUGGUGGCUGGCUGUCCUGAAGAGGUCGGCUAAACUUCAAAAUGCUAGCAUGACUGGGAUUGAUAAUUGUAAGUUUAUCAUGAACGAGGAAUACCUAGUAAUCGCAAAUCAUCAUUUUGCAAUGAUUACGUCCCUGCCUUUUGUACACACCGCCCGUCGCUCCUACCGAUGGGAGAAAGGAGUGAAGUGGAUGGAUGGUCUCCUUCGGGAGAUUGCAGAAUUCCCCUGAACUUCUUUCUCUGUAGGAAGGAGAAGUCGUAACAAGGUCUUCGUAGGUGAACCUGCAG
rnacentral:rRNA from 1 species